rnacentral:lncRNA from 1 species
AUUCCUGACAUUUGGUUUGUUUGCCUUUCUCAGUACUUUAAGAUUUCUAUAUUUAAUCUCAAGAUUCAAGACUGCAAGAAUGUGAAGGAAUCUUAAAGCAUAUGCCGGUAUAACCUCAGUCGGAAGAUUGGAUUCUAUUUAGCAUUCCUACUAAGAAGUUGCCAGUGGAAUUUUAUUUGGAUACAUCCACUGAUUAGGCGCUCACUGACUCAUAAGAAUAUCUCAUAAGGAUGAAUCUUCUGUCUCUGCAGCAAACCAAGUUCUGCAGAGAGAAAUGCUCCAUGAAAGCAAGGAUAAAUCAAACUGGCCUGGAGAACUGAAAUUUGUCUGUACUUCUGUGUAGCAGGAAAUUAGUCUCAGAAGUGAAGAGAGAAUAUGAUAGAGCAGCACUCUGCUAGAAGAAACACUGGACUGCAAAUUUGGAGACCUGGGUUUCAGUAUUGACUCUGCUGAGAACUCACCAUGUGGUUUUGGGGAGUUCUUGAAACCACUCUGGAUGUCAGUUUUCACAUCUGUGACAAGAGGAUAUUGUAAUGGAUUAUGUCGUUUUCCCACCCUACUCUAUCAUGUUAGUAUCAUUAAUUAGAUAUGAAAGGGAAGACAAGAGAAAGCAGGCAGGUAUAAAAGACUAAGGGGCAUAUAUAGGAAGGAGUGAAGAGAGGGUUUGAAAACUAAAUUAGAGGGAAGAUAGGGAUGAAAUUGAGACGAAGUCAGGUGGAGAGAGGCUAGAUGGAUUUCGCAGAUCACCCUUGGAGCUUUCAUAUACUAGAAGCUUAGGGUUGAGGCAGCUGAGAAGAUUGGCUCACAUGCUUGAAGAGCCUCCAUGAGAAAUUGUGUUAAUGAAAUUUGCACACAGUUUGCCCCUUCCUCAUGCCUUCUGCUGCCCGGUGGAUUAUCUCCCAGACUGGAAUGUUUCUGAUCUCAUCUUGUCUUGUUUCCAGAGAGAGAUAAGGGCACUGAGACCAUCUGUUCUGGUGUUUCUUUCUGAAUCAUACCCCACCUAGGGGCUUGCUGCAGGAGGGAGGGCACCAUGUCCUCCCAAUUUUUCUCUUCUUCCCUAAAAAAACUCCUGCAAAUCCAGAACCCCACAGGUACUAGCCUCUUGUCCUUAGCCAACAGCAUCGCCUCCACUCCACCACCAAGCACACAGCUGGCAACAGUGCUGUUUCCAUGGUGAUAAUGAAUGGCAACAGGCAGUAAUCAAGAUGGGUCGCUGGAGUCAUAAGUCAUUACAGAUUGCAUUUAAAGGCACACAGCUACAUUUAAAAUAAUAAAUUACUUUUUUUGAGCAUCUUCCUUGCUUCAAUCUCUCAGAAAAGAGUUAAUUGGCCGUUUGUUUUGCAUGUUUAUUUUCUUGUAUUUCUUUCCAUUUGUAUAGGGAAUCAGAUUGGUCAGUUUCCUCAACAGGAUAUCCUAGGCAGAGUUGAGAGCUGCCCACACACACUAAGGCUUAAGACACUGGGAAAGGCAGACUUACCAAAAAAGAAGUAUUUUUCCUAUCCCUGGCAGUACUUGGAACUUCAAUAUGACACAUACAUUUAUCUGGUUCUUUACUUUGGAGUUCCAAGUGUCUUAUUGGAAGUUAAACAGUCUUAGGAAUUUGGCAUCCACUGACACUGUAGCUACAUUUCAGAAUAAGAAUAAUAGAACCUUAUUGAAUUUAUGCUCAGAACACAUGGGCUUGAGUUUCAGCCAUGCCCCCAAAAUGGUGAUCUUGAGUAAGUCUCAUAAUGUUUUUGAUCAUUAAUAUCUUUAUCUUUAAAUUAGAAAUAAUAUUACUUAGCUUGGAGGAUUAUUAUGAGGAUCAAAUAAUAGAUUCAGAAACUAUAUAAAUAAUACAUCACUUUCUUAAUUUAACAUGCUUUUAGAAAUUGUUUUAGUAUAUUGAUUUUAGAAGUGACAAUAAUGACCAUCUUAGUGUCCCCCAGAAUCCCAGUUUAGAUAAGAGGUAGGGUACUUUGUGUGUGACUUCAAAGAAACCGUUUGUAUUUUGUGAACAAUUUUUUUCCCUAAUCUGUAAAAUGGGAAUGGUGCCUCCUGCUCUGCUUAUGUCACGGUUGCAGUGAAGAUCAAACGAAAUAACCCACUUAUAAGUCCUCACAUAUCAACUGCUCAGUAUUACACGGAAGUAAGCUAUGGUCAUUUAGAAAGCAUCCUGUUAAAAACAAGAUUGCGUUAGUGAUCACAUUCAACUAUUUUUCCGUACUGCAAAUCUUUCAUUCCAGACUUAAAAUCAUGUCUCACUAAAGUCCAAUCCUCCAUGAGGUUAAAAAUAAAUUCCUUAUUUCACCCUGUAAUUACAGUUUUAUCUUUUCUGUUCCUUCUCAGUCUCUAAAGCUGAAUGUUGUCUAAUGGUCUUAUUGACAACCUGAGAUAAAAUAAACAGGUAAAUAUGGAGCAGUCAUUCAUUUGUUCUGGGGAGCAAGGGAAUUGGUAGGAAAAUGGUUUUGCAUAACAGGUAUUCCUCAUGGCAAAACAUACAAUUAUUUUUGAGAUCUCUUUGUGAACUAAGAUUUAAACCAAAUUGCAUGCCAUUAAUAUUUCUCUCUGACUGUUGGUCUCAGUUUUUUAAUUAGGUAACAGCUGAAGCAGGAUGCAAUUUAGUUACACAACGAUUCAUCUUCUAUAUUAAGAUAUAUUAAUAAUAAUAUUUGUGAUGAAUUAUACAUGUCACUUUACAGAGGUCCUAAUGCAAGUACAAAUCAGCCACAGCCACCUAAGAAAUUCAGCUCUGCUUAUUUUCAUAUCGAGAAGGUGCACGCCUGUAUAUUCUUCGCAUAAAUCUUGUCAUUAAAUUCUUCCUUCAAAUUAUCUCUUAUUCAGAGACCUCUGGCAAUAAAUAAAUAAAUAAAUAAAUAAAUAAAUAAAUAAUGAAAACUUUGCACUGCUUUACAUCUGGAACCUUAGACAUUUAUAUUUUGUCUGAAAAUAGCACCACUAAAGGUUUUAUCACACAAUGUCUUACAUCACUAUAGAAACUUAACUUGAAUUUUUUCAUUUCAUCAAACUCUUCAUGUUAAAGGUGAUAUAUUAAUCAAAACCACUAUCCUAACUGUUAAUAUUAUCA